CCAGCGUGGAUGCCCCAGGAUGUCACUGUCCCCGGGCUCUGUCCAGGUGGCAUAGGGGAGCACAGGGCUCUGCCCUGUGAGGCACAGUCCCUUUCCACAACGUUGGAGAGAAAGCCAGGUCUUGAAUCUGCACCUGCAUAUUCCUGCAGCUUCUCAAGAGUCCUAUAGUCAGUGACUGAGGAGACAAACCAUGCAGGAAACAUCU